AAUAAGAUCAUUUUUCAGUUUUUUUAUACAAUGUUUUGACUUUUCGUCUUAUUUGAAAUUUUUUUGCGAUUAAUAUUUUUGUUGUUACUAGAUGAUAAAACAUGAAUAGUACUUUAUGUGUAACUAAUUUUUUUAAAGAUUUUAUACAAAUUUUUCAAAUAAGACGAAUUGUCAAACGUUGGACACGAAAAG
rnacentral:pre_miRNA from 1 species